UACGUAGGGUGCGAGCGUUGUCCGGAAUUACUGGGCGUAAAGAGCUCGUAGGUGGUUUGUCGCGUUGUCCGUGAAAACUCACAACUCAAUUGUGGGCGUGCGGGCGAUACGGGCAGACUGGAGUACUGCAGGGGGAGACUGGAAUUCCUGGUGUAGCGGUGGAAUGCGCAGAUAUCAGGAGGAACACCGGUGGCGAAGGCGGGUCUCUGGGCCGAUACUGACGUGAGGAGCGAAAGCGUGGGGGAGCGAACAGG
rnacentral:rRNA from 1 species